AACGAACGCUGGCGGCAGGCCUAAUACAUGCAAGUCGAACGCCCCUUCGGGGGAGUGGCGCACGGGUGAGUAACGCGUGGGAAUGUGCCCUUGGGUACGGAACAACACCGGGAAACUGGUGCUAAUACCGUAUAAUGUCUUCGGACCAAAGAUUUAUCGCCCAGGGAUCAGCCCGCGUAGGAUUAGCUAGUUGGUGAGGUAAUGGCUCACCAAGGCUACGAUCCUUAGCUGGUCUUAGAGGAUGAUCAGCCACACUGGAACUGAGACACGGUCCAGACUCCUACGGGAGGCAGCAGUAAGGAAUAUUGGACAAUGGGGGAAACCCUGAUCCAGCCAUGCCGCGUGAAUGAAGAAGGCCUUAGGGUUGUAAAGUUCUUUUAGUGGUGACGAUAAUGACGGUAGCCACAGAAAAAGCUCCGGCUAACUCCGUGCCAGCAGCCGCGGUAA
rnacentral:rRNA from 1 species